ACACGUGUUUUCUAACUCUUCUUUUCUUCGUAUCCAUAGAAAUAGAAUGUGUUCCAAUAAUCCAUUUUUUACCGAGCUCUCUCUCUCUCUCUCUCUCUCUCUCUCUCUCUCUCUCUUCUCUUACAUCAUAUUCUUCCCGCUUCUGAUUUUUUUGUUUUCGAAAUUGUCAAGUUUAGUUCAAGAGUUUUGCUCAGCGCUACUGUAUAUAUUUAUGACUAACAGAUGACUUCAAAAGGACGUUCUUUGAGAGGUCCUGACGUUUAGGAGAUCUAGGCGGUCUACAAUGAGGUUGUUACAAAGCAUACCACAAGCAACCAUUGUAUUUGGCUAUCAAGAGUUUCACUACUGCUUCAGACAUCAAAAAAGAAAAAAAGGAAAUUCACUAUUGCUUCGGUGUACUAUUGUUAUGCUUAACUCUCCCCCAAGUUGAGUCUUCUGUUCUUUUGUUUUGUAUGCAAGGAAGAACUAAAGAGUAACUGGAUUAAAAGAAGAAUUCAUGAACUGCUCUCCAAGGCAGCCACUUAUGCAGCUUCUGUAUGUAGUCCAGGUCAAAAAGAACUGCAGUUUUGUCUUCUUCAGAAAACCAGACAGGUUUCUGGAAUCAGAUUGUAGAAGUGGUCAUGUUGCUGGUUUGCGCUUGGAGAGGACAAUUCUUAAAGGUACAUGUAUGUCUAGUGAUCUUUUGGGCGCAGAGGCGCAACUAUCGCGGGAACUUUCGAUUAUUAAAUGAGAAGGAGUGCUCAGAUUUUUCAAGCAGAUUAGUGAUCCUGAAUGAUAACACAAAAGUCAUGCAAGAUAUUCGGCUUUGCUAAUUAUGAUAUGGAGUUGCUCUCUCCUAUGAUGCAGCUUGGGAAUUGAAUUCUUUUUUCUGGCUGACGGCGAAAACUCUUUGAGGACUUGUUGGUGUGUUUGGUUGAGGUCCUGGGGGCGUCGGGUUGAUUUCGGAUGGUUAACGGAUCGAAAUUUAGACUUAGUGCAUUGCUGAAGCUGGGAGUCUACUGGUGUAAUCACACCUGCGGAGAUUUGAUCGCAUGUGGAGCUCGCAGGUGUGUGUUGUGUUGUGCAUAUGCGAUUUUGGAGGGGAGUGUGCAGUGGUCGCAGGUGCGCGGGAAUUCCCGCACCUGCAUGACCGCAUAUGCGGUGAUGGGAGCGUAGAAGCGGAAAUGGAGAUGAGAGCUGGGUCCGCACAAGCGGCUUUGUGGCUCGCAAAAGCGAGUCCGCAGGAGCGAAACCGUGGGCCGCAGGUGCGGAGGAAACUGCAGAAGCGGGCGAUGGGUCGCUCCUGCGACACCGCAGAAGCAGGUAAGUGGCCGGAGGUGCGAGAAGGCCUGGGCAGUGUUUUAAAAACGAGGGUUUCGUAUUUUUCUUCAUUUUGAACAUUUCAAGCUCGGGAAUUGGCGAUGUUUUAGAGGAUUUUCGAGGGCUUUCUUGAGAUUCGGGAUAUUUGGAGGCCGAUUCGCGAGGCAAGGGUAUGUUGGAAUAGAGAUUUGCGCGAUUUGAGAUCCAGGUAUUUUUGGACACGGUGGAUGUUGAUUUUCUUUGCGCAACUCGAUCGUUGGAGAUUCCAAGGUAGUUGCCCGGCGUUCGCAUACCUUGUCUCUCCUUUCCUAUCUUUCCGCUUAUUCUAUUUAGUUUCAGACUAUCAUAGACAAUAUUUUCCAGACUUAUGAUGUAUAGAUGCUCAUGUAUUCUGUGACAUCCCAAUAUUUGGGAACUUGCGCGUUGAGUUUUGGGUUUCUAUCCUGUUUAUGAGAACUUUUUAUUAUUUAAACUGCUUUAACUCA